rnacentral:rRNA from 1 species
UACAGAGGGGGCAAGCGUUGUUCGGAAUUACUGGGCGUAAAGGGCGCGUAGGCGGCCUUCUAAGUCGAACGUGAAAUCCCACGGCUCAACCGUGGAACUGCUUGGUAUACUGGAUGUCUUGAGCCACUUAGGGGCUACCGGAACAAAUGGUGGAGCGGUGAAAUGCGUAGAUAUCAUUUGGAACGCCAAUGGUGAAAACAGGUAGCUGGGAGUGUGCUGACACUGAGACACGAAAGCCAGGGGAGCGAACGGG